rnacentral:tRNA from 1 species
GCCUGGGUAGCUCAGUGGUAGAGCGCGACGCUGAAAACGUUGAUGUUGACAGUUCGAUUCUGUCCCCAGGCA